GACGAACGCUGGCGGCGUGCUUAACACAUGCAAGUCGAGCGGUAAGGCCCUUUCGGGGUACGACGAGCGGCGAACGGGUGAGUAACACGUGGGUGACCUGCCCUCAGCUCUGGGAGUAAGCCCGGGAAACUGGGUCUAAUACUGGAUAUGACUCCAUGACGCAUGUUGUGGGGUGGAAAGCCUUGUGCGGCUGAGGAUGGGCCCGCGGCCUAUCAGCUUGUUGGUGGGGGAUGGCCUACCAAGGCGACGACGGGUAGCCGGCCUGAGAGGGCGACCGGCCACACUGGGACUGAGACACGGCCCAGACUCCUACGGGAGGCAGCAGUGGGGAAUCUUGCGCAAUGGGCGAAAGCCUGACGCAGCGACGCCGCGUGAGGGAUGACGGCCUGGUU
rnacentral:rRNA from 1 species